rnacentral:rRNA from 1 species
GACGAACGCUGGCGGCGCGCCUAACACAUGCAAGUCGAACGAGCGAGCGAGAGCUUGCUUUCUCGAGCGAGUGGCGAACGGGUGAGUAACGCGUGAGGAACCUGCCUCAAAGAGGGGGACAACAGUUGGAAACGACUGCUAAUACCGCAUAAGCCCACGGCUCGGCAUCGAGCAGGGGGAAAAGGAGCAAUCCGCUUUGAGAUGGCCUCGCGUCCGAUUAGCUAGUUGGUGGGGUAACGGCCCACCAAGGCGACGAUCGGUAGCCGGACUGAGAGGUUGAACGGCCACAUUGGGACUGAGACACGGCCCAGACUCCUACGGGAGGCAGCAGUGGGGAAUAUUGCACAAUGGGGGAAACCCUGAUGCAGCGACGCCGCGUGGAGGAAGAAGGUCUUCGGAUUGUAAACUCCUGUUGUUGGGGAAGAUAAUGACGGUACCCAACAAGGAAGUGACGGCUAACUACGUG